ACACCUCAACUCUUGUGGUUGCCCACAAUGAGCUGGACUGUGGAGGUUUUGUUGGCCCUGUGGUCAGCUCCUCUCAAACGAAUCAGCUUACCGGUGUUUGGUGGCGUCACGGGUGUGAUAAUUAUCUGCGCUCGUGGCCGUCUCCAAGUAACCUCCAGUGGUGGAGGUUCGCUGGAGCUUAUAAAUGUCUCUCCUCAGUGAAGACAGCCUUUGAAC
rnacentral:misc_RNA from 1 species